ACAACAACAACAAAAGAAAAAUUAACUCCUGGAUAUGUUUAAUAGUGAAGGAGCAUUGCUUAAGUUCCUGUCACCACCACCACCUCAGGGAGAUACCCCAGUCCAUCCUUCUGACAGUGAAAAUGGAGCAUUGCUUAAGUCCCUAUCACCACUGCCUCAGACAGAAGAUACCCCUGACAGUCUCCUGACAGUGAAAAUGGUAG